rnacentral:tRNA from 2 species
AGGAAGGUUCCAUUAUUGGUAAGAUGGGUUGAGCUGUAAACUCAACAACAAAAGUUUGUAAAGGUUCGAAUCCUUUUCUUCCUA